rnacentral:misc_RNA from 1 species
UUUAACAUAAUAUGUUUAUAAAAAUUAAAAAUGUUAAUUUAAUAUAAAUAAAAAAUUAAUUAAUAUAGUAAUUUUUUUUGUAACAUAAUAUACAUGAUAACAUUCAUACUUCUUUCAAUUUUUUAACCACAACGAAAAAGAAAUGUAUCUCCAAAACAUACUCUCCCAUAAAUAAAAAGCCAAGCUUAAUGACUUAAAAAUACAAUUUGUAAGUGAUCACUAAUCGAAAUUACUAUGGACAUCACCUGCACCAAAGAAGUUGGCAAGACGGGCAUUAUACAUAUUGGCAUGCAUUUAGAGAUCAAAGUGUAGUUUGGUCUAUUAUUCAGUUUCUUUUUCAUUCUAUUUAGAACUUAGAAUACAUAAAGGAAGAAAAAUACACAC